rnacentral:misc_RNA from 1 species
GAUGAAGAACGUAGCGAAAUGCGAUAAGUAAUGUGAAUUGCAGAAUUCAGUGAAUCAUCGAAUCUUUGAACGCACAUUGCGCCCCCUGGUAUUCCGGGGGGCAUGCUUGUUCGAGCGUCAUUUCAACCCUCAAGCUCUGCUUGGUAUUGGGCGUCGCCGGGGAGUCUCCCCGGCGUGCCUCAAAGCCAUCGGCGGUGGUGCCUUUCUCUAAGCGUGGUAGAAUUUUUAUUCGCUUCUGAGUUGGGCUUCGCCUGCCGGACAAACCGGGCCCUCGCGGCCCACCUUCUCAGGUUGACCUCGGAUCAGGUAGGGAUACCCGCUGAACUUAAGCAUAUCAAUAAGCGGAGGA